CGCCUGGGUGGCUCAGUGGGUUAAAGCCUUUGCCUUUAGCCCAGGUCCUGAUCCCGGGCCUUCUGCUCAGCGGGGAGCCUGCUUCCCCCUCUCUCUACCUGCCUCUCUGCCUACCUGUGAUCUCUGUCAAAUAAGUAAAUAAAAUCUUAAAAAAAAAAAACCAAAAACAAGUGACCACUUAACAGGCCUUUAAAGCCUUUUAUGUUAAGUGCCAUGCAACUUUAGAUGCCUUCCAGAUACCAAACACAAGCGUACAGAUGAUUAAAUGUUAGGAGUUUUGGGGGGUGGAUGCGGGGAAGGGAGUUGUCACACCAGCAUAACUGCAGAUCAGGAGCUUCUCUCAUCAGUGGAUGCUGUAGUUUUCGGAUGAAAAGUAGUGAGAUACGGCCCUCCCCACUGAGGUCUUUUAGUUACUAGUUAACCAAGUGAUUAAACUUAGCACCACCAGCCCACUUACAGACUUUUUAGUCUCUAAAAGAGAGAUCAUAGUUCUCUCCCUCCCAGGUCCUCCCUAGAGACUGCGACUCAGUGCUGUGGUCCCUAACACGGAAAAAACAUUGGAUGAAUGUUGAGCUUUUCUGAUGGCUGUUCUACUUUGCUGUGUCUCAUCAUAGCAGAGAAGAAUCCUAUUUAAUGUCUGCCAAUAGAUGUUGACUUCAACUGAGACAGGACUGAGCUUAAAUAUAGGAAGGAACAAUUUAUUUCAAGUUUUGAGAGUCCCAAGUAAAGUAUACCCUAGGGAAAAAAAUUUAAAACAGUCUGAAACUUGAGUAGUUAACUCAAAAAUGAUUUUGUAAUAAAGCAUAGUAAAACUAUGUAUUUGAUCAUACAGUGAUUCCUAGUAUAAAUCCUAGCACUGCUAUCAAUUGAUCAUUUUAAAUGUAACUUACAUGUGUAUGUAAUGUAAACAUAGUUGUAAAAUGUUUUAUUAAAUCAUUUCACUGUUCACACAAGAGUUCAUUUAUUAAAUCAUUUCACUAUUCACACAAGA